AACGAACGCUGGCGGCAGGCUUAACACAUGCAAGUCGAGCGCCCCGCCAGGGGAGCGGCCGACGGGUGAGUAACGCGUGGGAACGUACCUUUUGGUUCGUAACAACUCCGGGAAACUGGAGCUAAUACCGGAUAAGCCCUAACGGGGAAAGAUUUAUCGCCGAAAGAUCGGCCCGCGUCUGAUUAGCUAGUUGGUGAGGUAACGGCUCACCAAGGCGACGAUCAGUAGCUGGUCUGAGAGGAUGAUCAGCCACACUGGGACUGAGACACGGCCCAGACUCCUACGGGAGGCAGCAGUGGGGAAUAUUGGACAAUGGGCGCAAGCCUGAUACAGCCAUGCCGCGUGAGUGAUGAAGGCCUUAGGGUUGUAAAGCUCUUUUGUCCGGGAAGAUAAUGACUGUACCGGAAGAAUAAGCCCCGGCUAACUUCGUG
rnacentral:rRNA from 1 species